rnacentral:rRNA from 1 species
UACGUAGGGUGCAAGCGUUAAUCGGAAUUACUGGGCGUAAAGGGCGCGUAGGCGGCCCCUUUUGUCGCGUGUGAAAGCCCCGGGCUCAACCUGGGAGGUGCGCGCGAAACGGGGGGGCUUGAGUUCGGGAGAGGAGAGUGGAAUUCCCAGUGUAGAGGUGAAAUUCGUAGAUAUUGGGAAGAACACCGGUGGCGAAGGCGGCUCUCUGGACCGCAACUGACGCUGAGACGCGAAAGCGUGGGGAGCAAACAGG